GGGUUCAGGCCCAGGAACCCAGUUCCCCUGGUCAUUGUUGUGAGAUGGAAGAUUUCCAGGGCCAGCUGUAGAAGGAAGAGAACUGAGCCGCCCUGCACAUGCUCCAUGGGAGCCCCACGGAAGCCGGAAGGGUCUGUGUGUGUGCGCGGGUGUGUGUUCCAGACCCCAGCCGGGUGCAGAAGGGAUGCAGGACAGCGCAGGGGCCUGGGGCGUUUAGAAGAGGAAUGAAGGCAGAGCAUGGUGGGGAGGUGGGGCCCAGGGCUGGGGUCCCGUCCCUUUUGACUUAAGGGCUCCAUCCAUCCUUAUCUUCCCUUGCUCCCCAUUCCCCGAGUAUUUCAUGCUGCAGAGAGACCCUCUAGACAGUUGUCCUGGGAAGAAGAGGGGGCUGAUCUGGCAAAAUGAGCAAGGACAGAAGGACCGUGCACUGUGUCCCAAGAACCACAAGCCACGUGUUUGCUGGGACCAGGGUUUCUUGGAAUGAGAGUUGUGGCCACUACCUGCAACCAAGCCCUGGCGAAGUGCUAGCCCCUGUCUCAGCUGCCCAUGGAUCCUCUCUCCUUGCACACCUCAGCCUGCACCAGCUGCCACUGUGAAGCCAACCCGCUCCUGAGGCUUUGGAAGAUCUGGCCCGAUCUUCAGGCAUGGCCCAGAUGUCAUCUUUACUGGAGUCUCAGGGAACUUAUGUGUCUCUGGAACAUCCUAAAUAUCAAGAUCCUUGGGGUGUUCUAACCACCUUACUGCAGAGGAAACCCUACGGCUACAGGAGGCUGACACCUGUGCAGCCUUGUAAUCCUGGGGCUGACUAAAUCUGGAAUAAAUAGCACCAAAGACAUA